ACGUGCCACCUGCACGGAAGCCAGUCAAGGCGGCACUGGCAUCUGCCACGUUCAGAUCGUGCUUUUUACGUGCCAACGGCACAGGUAUCACAACUACAAUUUCCAUUUGAUUUUUAUUUUGAUGUUGAUGUACUUGACUCCAUAGGUCUCCUCAAGCACAGCAGGUCACCCUACGAUCCAAGGUAAGCACAGCAGUUCAUCCUGCAAUCCAAGGUACUUUGGAUGGGCUGGGGCUAUGCAAAACUGGUGCAGGAGGCAGCCAUGAAAUCACAUUAUUUGUCUGGUCUUUGCAGUCAUAGCAUAUCUCCAGAGAUCUCGGUCUUUCGUCAUUGCCUCUGUGAGCCCCAACAUUCGAUGGUCAUGCUUGACCACCUCAUCCCAUGUCUUCCUGGGUCUGCCUCUACCCCAGAUCCCUUCAACUGUUUGGAAGUGUCACUUCUUCACACAUCUCUCCUUAUCCAUCCAUAGUAUAUGACCAUACCAGCGCAAACGUCUCUCUUGCAGGUCAAAUCCGAUGCUUCUUAUGUCCAGCAUUUCUCUCACGGCGCUCACACUCUGUCGUGUGUGCACACUGACAUUACACAUCCAGCGGAUCAUGCUAGCUUAAUUUCUUUCAAGCCUACGUAUGUUCUCUGCAGUCACAGCCCAUGUUUCAAUACCGUGGAGCAUGUCAGUUCGCACACAUGCGCCGUACAAUCUACCUUUCACUCUGAACGAGAUACCCUUUGUCAUCAGUAAGGGUAGAAGCUUUCUAAAUUUUGCUCAGGCUAUUCGUAUUCUAGUGGUAACACUCUCUGAGCAUCCAACACCCCCCACUAACUUGGUCACAUUGGUAGCAGAAACUAUCAACUACUUCUAGUUUCUACCCCUGUUUUCUGAGUAUCUGUGGUGUCUAUUGCCCCUGUGCAUCUGCCGCACAUGAUGUUGCUGCACCUCUUAUGUGUCCAUAGCUUACACUGGGUACAUCUUAUGGAGUUUUUACCUACCCUUUUUCUACAGAUCAAGCAGGGCCACCUACCUGAGUUCACCUUCAUACUUACUAUAAAUUUGGUCUUUGCUAGAUUGACUCUAAGGCCUUUUGAUUCUAAACCUAGAUUCCACACCCGAAAUUUCUUUUCUAGUUCCAGUAGUGAUUCUGCUGAGGUCCAGAUCAUCAGCAUAGAGGAGCUCCUAGGGGCAACCCGUCUUGAAUUUCUCUGUUAUUGCCUGGAGGACUAUGAUGAAUAAAAGGGGACUGAGGGCUGAACCUUAGUGGACCAUUACUUCUACCCAGAAUUCUUCACUAUACUCAUUGCCAAUCCUAACCUUACUAACAGCCUCUCUGUACUGCCUGUACUGCCCUUAUUAACCAUUCAUCAAUCUCCAGUUUCUGCAUUGCCCACCAGAUAAGGGAUCGGGAGACCCUGUCAAAGGCUUUCUCCAAGUCCAUGAAAGCUAAAUAGAGGUGUGUAUGUGUAUAUAUAUAUAUAUAUAUAUAUAUAUAUAUAUAUAUAUAUAUAUACACACAUAUAUAUAUAUAUAGUCCUCCAUCUUCGUUUUCUCUUGGUCUUUCUUCCGUCUCUUGUUUGUGACAAAAAGCUUUGCUUUAAUCGUAAAACUACUUCUCUUUCCUUGUCUGAGCAUCUGCUAAUACUUUGCCUAUACCACGUCCUUUCGCUGUUUUGUUUUUUGUUGUUUUUCGUGUGCUUUUCCUCAGUUUUUGGGAUUAAUUAUAUAUAUGUACAUAUAUAUAUAUAUAUAUAUAUAUAUAUAUAUAUAUAUAUAUAUAUAUAUAUAUAUAUAUAUAUAUAUAUGAAAUUUAAAUAAUGAAGGAGAUAAAUUGAAUAUUAAUUUAAUUAAUAUCAAUUUAAAACCAGUAGCCUAGCAUAUAUAAAAAACCUGAAAAAUCAGAAGAAAUUUCAGUACAUGUGUAUAUUUAGGCAAACCACUUGGUGGAUAACCAUACGCUAGAAGAAGAUCACAUACGAUCUAACUACAAAGAAAAAAUAUUCUCCAGAGAAAAUUCAGUGAACACCAGAACAUAAGCGGGCAAGACAGAUGAAAAUUAAAUAUAAAUCAAGAAUUAAUCGUAUACCGGUUUCGUCUGUUACCGAAUAAAUUACUUACUGAAUAAAUUACUUGUGUUCUCUAAUUGGCAACAUUAACUGCAGUAAAUUAUCUGCUGCAGAACUGUUUCCGGAAUUUAGCACUCCAGAACUUAGACAUUUGAAAAUAACCCCAAUAUAAUCGGUAGAACUAAGCACAUGUCUAGUUUUAUAUGGACAAAUAGUGUUUAGUUUUUCAAAUUAUAUUGAAAUUGGAACGAUCGUACUGACGAGUUCUGGGGACGAAGGAUUACGUAAGUAAUUUAUUCAGUAACACACGAAACUGAUAUACGAUUAAUUCUUGAUUUUUAUUUAAUUUUCAUCUGUCUUGCCCGCUUAUGUUCUGGUAUUUGCUGAAUUUUCUCUAGAGAACAUUUUUUCUUUGUAGUUAGAUCGUAUGUGAUCUUAUUCUAGAGUAUGGUUAUCCACCUAGUGGUUUGCCCAAACAUACAACACACACACACACACACACACACACACACACACACACACAUAUAUAUAUAUAUAUAUAUAUAUAUAUAUAUAUAUAUAUAUAUAUAUAGUAGCAGCAGAAAAGAGGGAUUUCGAUUAUCCCCACGUGGUGAUUUGUAAUGUAUAUAAGAAAUUAAAAAAGGAAAAUACGCACACUUACAUAGUUUUAAUAUAAUUUUUAAUAUAUCAACCGGUUUCGCUAUCACUAUUCAUAUUAUGUUUUACUUAUUUGAAUAUGCAUUUUUUCUUAAGAAGAAAUUUUGUCCAUGUUGUGUGUGAUGUGAUGAAAUUCACGAGUGAAUGACUUCACAAGUAGAUAAAAAAGGGAGGUAAUUGGUUAUCGUUAUUAUUGUUAUUGCUGUGAGUAAGGGAGAUAACUGUUCAACUUUCGGUAAUGGGAGGGGAAUAUAUAUGUACAAAGACAAGUUUCGAAAACCUUGUUUAGUGAUGAGAUUUAUGUACAGUGAUGUAAUCGUGAAUUGAAAUAUGUAAAAAACUAAAAGUUGGUUAUGCGUGCAUAUUAAGACGUGUUCUGUAUUUUUCAAUGAAAAAAGUUUCUUUAUUUAAACGUUCUAGUGGAGAGAUUACGUAUUUGCACUGGUAGAAGGGGAAGACUGUGAAAUUCGGUUUGAUGUUACCUGCUCAUUUUUCUGUAUGCUUACUGAGAGGAAUUUGUCUGUAUUGUGGGAAACGGAUUUGCUCUUUAUGUAGAGUGGUUCUCUUUCUCAAGGUCAUACUCGUUUGUCCAAUAUAGUGGUGUCUGCAACCUGAGCAGGUUAUUGCAUAACUUAGGUUUUCAGAGGCACAAGUGAAACUAAUUUUAAUUGUGAGCCUCUGUCAUUGUUUGAAAAGGAAAACUGAGUCUUCAAGCAGGUUGGGGCAGGUUCCACAGUUUGGGCGUCCAUAUUUUUCAACCAUUGGUUUCGUGGUUGUUUUGUGAAGCUUCGCAUUUGUAAGUAGUCUCUUUAGCGAUUUGUCUUGUUUUUUUGCAUUUGAUGAGUUUGUGUGUUUUCAGGAUGUCGUUCAUCUUUGGAUCUCUAGUUAGUAAAGGAAGAAGUUUGUACAAUAGUGUUGAAUGCCUCACUGUUUCUGGGAUUGUGUGUUGAUAUAAAUAGUAAUGUUUUGAGUUGAGGUUUGGUGUUAUGCUUUGUUGUUUUUAGUGUUUUUGUGUCUAAUUGUUUGGCACGUUUAAUUCCCUCGUCGAUAAGUGAGGAUGGAUAUUGUCUUUCAAUAGGUCCCGAGUAUAUACAUAUAUAUAUAUAUAUAUAUAUAUAUAUAUAUAUAUAUGUGUGUGUGUGUGUGUGUGUGUGUGUGUGUAUGUAUAUAUAUAUAUAUUUAUAUAUAUAAUAUAAAGGGGUAUAAAUGGGGCUGGAAGGGGAUUAAAAUUUAAAGGAGCGGGUGUUUAGCAAUUCUCUGUUACAUCAAGCUAAAAAAUUUGCUCCAGCCUUUUAAUCGUCAAUGUGUUGCCGUCCAUGGUGAAGAAGUUUUGAAUGCUUGCCAUCGUGAGUCUACUGUCGUGAGAAAGAAUCAAUUCAAAACUUGGUUUUUAGGGAUUUUCUUUUACAUCAAGUUCUAAAUUUUACGCCAGCCGUUGAACUGUCAAUACGUUGCUGUCCGUCGUUAAGAAAUGCCAGCCAUGGUGACUCUACUAUCCUCAAAUUCUAUCCCUUCAAACUUUGGUUUCCAAUAUUUUAUUAUUAUUUUUUCAGCUCGCAAGUUCGUCUGUCCCUUUUAAAUGUUAGUGUUUUGCUGUCUGUCUUGAAGCAGACCUUUCCUUUGUAACUGCCUGAUAUUUAUGAUUGAUCUUUCUAAAUAUUUUAUUUCUCAACUUACUCAAGAUCUUUUGUUGUUUAUAAAUGGGAGAGAGAUACAUAAAGAUAGAGAGUAAGAGAAAGCGAGGGAGAGUCCGAGAGAAAGGAAGAGUAAGAGAGUGGGAAAGUGAGAGAGAAAGGAGAAAGAAACAAAGAGGGAGAAUCAUCAUCAUCAUCAUCAUCAUCGUUUAACGUCCGUUUUCCGUGCUAGCACGGGUUGGACAGUUUGACAGGGGUCUGGGAAGCCAGGAGGCUGCACCAGGCUCCAGUCUGAUCUGGCAGUGUUUCGACAGGUGGAUGCCCUUCCUAACGCCAACCACUCUGUGAGCGUAGUGGGUGCUUUUUUCGUGCCGCCUGCACAGGUGCCAGGGUGGCUGGCAGCGGCCACGAUCGGUUGGUGCUUUUUACGUGCCACCAGCACAGAAGCCAGUCAAGGCGGCGCUGCAAUCGGCCACGUUUGGAUGGUGCUUUUUACGUGCUGAAAGGAAGCAACAGAAAGUAACAACCACACUCUUACCCGCGCGUAGAGCGGGUCACCUUCAGCUAGUAUAUAUAUAUAUAUAUAUAUAUAUCACCAUCAUCAACAUCAUCAUUAUAGUCUAACGUCCGUUUUCCAUGCUAGCAUGGGUUGGACGGUUCGACUGUGGUCUGGGAAGCCAGGAGGCUGCUCCAGACACCAGUCUAAACACUGCCAGAUCGGACCCCAGUCAAACCGUCCAACCCAUGCUAGCAUGGAAAACCGAUGUUAAACGAUGAGGAUGAUGUUGAUGAGAUUAUGAUGAUAUACAUAUACAAGUAUAUAUAUAUAUAUAUAUAUAUAUAUGUUGUUGAAAUUGACAGAAAAACAAAAGACGAAGACAGGUGUAUUAACAACAAGCACGCGUAUGUUUGAUGCUCAGGAACGUGAGAAAGUCUUUUAUGUUUCAAGCUUAUGCUCUUCAACAGAAAGGAACAUGAGGAAAUAAACAAAGAGAGAAUAAGAAAAACUUGUGGAUUUAGCAGUCAAUCAUGUAUAUAUGUGUAUAUAUAUAUGUACAUACAUGUAUACAUAUACAUGUAUACAUAUACAUGUAUAUAUAUAUAUAUAUAUAUAUAUAUAUAAAUAUAUAUAUAUACAUAGAUAUAGACAUGUAUAUAUAUAUAUAUAUGUGUGUGUGUGUACAUAUAUAUGUAUAUCUAUUUAAAUAUAUGUAUGUAUGUGUGUGUAUAUAAAUAUAUAUACAUAUAGAUAGAUAGAUAGAUAGAAUGAUUGAUAGAUAUGUAUAGAUGUAUAUAUAUUUAUAUGUAUAUAUAUAUGUGUAUAUAUAUAUGUAUAUAUUUGUAUGUAUAUAUUUGUAUGUAUAUAUAUAUGUAUAUAUAUAUAUAUAUUUAUUUAUAUCUGUAUCUAUAUAUAUAUAUAUACAUGUAUAUAUGUGUAUGUAUAUGUGUACAUAUAUAUAGAUGUAUAUUUAUAGGUGUAUAUGUAUAUAUGUACAUAUAUAUAUAUAUAUAUAUAUAUAUAUAUAUAUACAUACACACACACACACACACAUAUAUAUAUACAUAUAUAUUUAUUUAUAUCUGUAUCUAUAUAUGUAUAUAUAUAUGUAUAUAUGUGUAUAUAUAUGUGUACAUAUAUAUGUAUAUAUAUAGAUGUAUAUUUAUAGAUGUAUAUGUAUAUAUGUACAUAUAUAUAUAUAUAUAUAUAUACACAUACACACACAAACACACACACAUAUAUAUAUAUAUAUAUAUAUAUAUAUAUAUAUAUAUAUAUAUAUAUAUAUAUAUAUAUAUAUAUAUAUAUAUAUAUAUAUAUAUAUAUAUAUCUAUGCAAGUGUAAGUAAAACUACAUAUUGCAUUAGUAAUGAAACAAUUGUAUAGAGUCAAUCUAUUUUAUUCGUUGUAUUUCACUUUCCUUCAGUUAAAUAUGUGUUGAUUCUAGUUGGAAACGGAUCUUCUGUGGUUGCUUCGGAGCUAUUUUUAGCACUAGAGUUAUCCACAUAGUGGAUAACUCUCUAAUAAUUUAUGUAUAAAUUUGUAUUUUCUCCGUAGUUUUUUGUGCUAAGCCACUUGGUGUUAAAUUGACGGUAUUAUUAAAUUAAUAUCGAUUUUUCACCCUCAUUUAUAAUUUUAUAUAUAUAUAUAUAUAUAUAUAUAUAUAUAUGGAGGCGCAAUGGCCCAGUGGUUAGGGCAGUGGACUCGGUUUCGAUUCCCAGACCUGGCGUUGUGAGUGUUUAUUGAACGAAAACACCUAAAGCUCCACGAGGCUCUGUCAGGGGAUGGUGGCGAUCCCUGCUGUACUCUUUCGCCACAACUUUCUCUCACUCUUUCUUCUGUUGGCCUGCUCGCUUAGCCAGCAGGGUGGCAUCAUUUGAAGGCUAAAACAAUGUGAAGCGCAUUGUGACCAGUGAUGUGUAGCAACAUCUGAUAGCCUGGUCGGUCACGGUGAUCAUGGUGAAAUAUACAUAUAUAUGUAUAUAUAUAUAUUUAUAUAUGUAAAUAUAUAUAUAUAUAUAUAUCACCGUGAGCAACCAGGCUAUCAUAUCAAAUGUUGCAACACAUCGCUGGUCACAAAGCGCUUCGCAUUGUUUUAGCCUUCAAAUGACGCCACCCCGAUGGCUAAGUGAGCAGGCCAUGUAUAUAUAUAAACAGAGGUGACUGAAGAAGGGGAAUUUUCCUUGUAAUGUGUGUCUUGUACUCUAUUUUUUUGUUGUUUAAGAAAAAUGUCCAUUUCCUUGGUUUUGUGUUUAUGUUUUCGUUUCUCAUUGUGUUCAGCGUUUUUUUUGGGUGUCCUGUACCCAUGCAUGUAUAUAUACAUGUAGAUGUAGGUACAUACAUAUAUGUAUGUAUAUAUGCAUGUUUUAUUUAUUAAUUUAUUAUUAUAUGACGGAACACACGCAUCCAUUUCUAAGUAAGUUUGUUCUUAAUAUUAAUAAUGAUGCGCACUCUUAACCUUUCUGUCCCCCUCCCUUUCUCAGCUUUCAUUCUUUCUGGUUUCCUUUUCUUAUACCUUACUGUCUCUCCCCCUCUCUCUCUCUCUCAUUCUUUCUGGUUUUCUCUACAACCAUUCCCUUUUUUCUCUCCCUUUCUCUACAACCAUUCCCUUUUUUUCUCUCCCUUUCUCUUACUCCUUCUCCUCUGUCCCACCGCUGACCAGCAAUGAGAAACUACUGUCUUUCUGACCUCGCUUCCUUCGAGUGUAGACGGCUUGCCAUCGCCGUUCUCAAAAAGUGUUCGUAAUAUUUUCUCUCAUUUGGCUUAACAGCCCUCAAUGUCUGUGUUACUGUUAUUCUCCUUGUCCUGUCUUUUACUGUUUAUAUUUUGUACUGUCUUUACUGUCCUGUUUUUGUUACCAUUUUUACCCCUUCGCAAAAACGUCUCAAAUUUUAUUUAAUUUAUCCUUUGCGGGAAGGAAUAUGUUAACGAAGUCGUGUCUCGCCUUUACCUUCUAAACGCGGAGUAGAUGAAACAGAGGCGACUGAAGAAGGGGAAUUUUCCUUAUGUUGUAUGUCCUGAACUCUAUUUUAUCGUUGUUUAAGAAAAAUGUCCAUUUCCUUGGUUUUGUGUUUAUGUUUUCGUUUCUCAUUGUGUUCGACGUUUUUUUGGUGUCCUGUAUACCCAUAUAUGCAUGUAUAUAUACAUGUAGAUGUAGGUACGUACAUGUAUGUAUGUAUGCAUAUGUUUUAUUUAUUAAUUUGUUAUUAUAUAUAUAUAUAUGUGUGUGUGUACGUGUGUGUGUGUGUGUGUGUGUGUAUACACAUAUGUAUAUAUAAAUAUAUGUAUGUAUAUAUGUAUAUAUAAUGCAUAUAUAUAUAUAUCAUCAUCAUCGUUUAACGUCCAUUUUCCAUGGUAGCAAGGGUUGGACGGUUCGACCGGGGUCUGGGAAGCCAGGAGGCUGCACCAGGUUCCAGUCUGAUUUGGCAGUGUUUGUAGAAACACUUUGUGGAAGCUGGAUGCCCUUCCUAACGCCAACCACUCCGUGUGUGUGGUGGGUGCUUUUUACGUGCCACCGGCACAGGUGCUAGUGGAGGCUGGCAAUAGUCAUGAUCGGUUGGUGCUUUUUACGUGCCACCUGCACGGAAGCCAGUCAAGGCGGCACUGGCAUCUGCCACGUUCAGAUCGUGCUUUUUACGUGCCAACGGCACAGGUAUCACAACUACAAUUUCCAUUUGAUUUUUAUUUUGAUGUUGAUGUACUUGACUCCAUAGGUCUCCUCAAGCACAGCAGGUCACCCUACGAUCCAAGGUAAGCACAGCAGUUCAUCCUGCAAUCCAAGGUACUUUGGAUGGGCUGGGGCUAUGCAAAACUGGUGCAGGAGGCAGCCAUGAAAUCACAUUAUUUGUCUGGUCUUUGCAGUCAUAGCAUAUCUCCAGAGAUCUCGGUCUUUCGUCAUUGCCUCUGUGAGCCCCAACAUUCGAUGGUCAUGCUUGACCACCUCAUCCCAUGUCUUCCUGGGUCUGCCUCUACCCCAGAUCCCUUCAACUGUUUGGAAGUGUCACUUCUUCACACAUCUCUCCUUAUCCAUCCAUAGUAUAUGACCAUACCAGCGCAAACGUCUCUCUUGCAGGUCAAAUCCGAUGCUUCUUAUGUCCAGCAUUUCUCUCACGGCGCUCACACUCUGUCGUGUGUGCACACUGACAUUACACAUCCAGCGGAUCAUGCUAGCUUAAUUUCUUUCAAGCCUACGUAUGUUCUCUGCAGUCACAGCCCAUGUUUCAAUACCGUGGAGCAUGUCAGUUCGCACACAUGCGCCGUACAAUCUACCUUUCACUCUGAACGAGAUACCCUUUGUCAUCAGUAAGGGUAGAAGCUUUCUAAAUUUUGCUCAGGCUAUUCGUAUUCUAGUGGUAACACUCUCUGAGCAUCCAACACCCCCACUAACUUGGUCACAUUGGUAGCAGAAACUAUCAACUACUUCUAGUUUCUACCCCUGUUUUCUGAGUAUCUGUGGUGUCUAUUGCCCCUGUGCAUCUGCCGCACAUGAUGUUGCUGCACCUCUUAUGUGUCCAUAGCUUACACUGGGUACAUCUUAUGGAGUUUUUACCUACCCUUUUUCUACAGAUCAAGCAGGGCCACCUACCUGAGUUCACCUUCAUACUUACUAUAAAUUUGGUCUUUGCUAGAUUGACUCUAAGGCCUUUUGAUUCUAAACCUAGAUUCCACACCCGAAAUUUCUUUUCUAGUUCCAGUAGUGAUUCUGCUGAGGUCCAGAUCAUCAGCAUAGAGGAGCUCCUAGGGGCAACCCGUCUUGAAUUUCUCUGUUAUUGCCUGGAGGACUAUGAUGAAUAAAAGGGGACUGAGGGCUGAACCUUAGUGGACCAUUACUUCUACCCAGAAUUCUUCACUAUACUCAUUGCCAAUCCUAACCUUACUAACAGCCUCUCUGUACUGCCUGUACUGCCCUUAUUAACCAUUCAUCAAUCUCCAGUUUCUGCAUUGCCCACCAGAUAAGGGAUCGGGAGACCCUGUCAAAGGCUUUCUCCAAGUCCAUGAAAGCUAAAUAGAGGUGUGUAUGUGUUUUUUUUUUUUUAUAUAUAUAUAUAUAUAUAUAUAUAUAUAUAUAUAUACACACAUAUAUAUAUAUAUAGUCCUCCAUCUUCGUUUUCUCUUGGUCUUUCUUCCGUCUCUUGUUUGUGACAAAAAGCUUUGCUUUAAUCGUAAAACUACUUCUCUUUCCUUGUCUGAGCAUCUGCUAAUACUUUGCCUAUACCACGUCCUUUCGCUGUUUUGUUUUUUGUUGUUUUUCGUGUGCUUUUCCUCAGUUUUUGGGAUUAAUUAUAUAUAUGUACAUAUAUAUAUAUAUAUAUAUAUAUAUAUAUAUAUAUAUAUAUAUAUAUAUAUAUAUAUAUAUAUAUAUAUGAAAUUUAAAUAAUGAAGGAGAUAAAUUGAAUAUUAAUUUAAUUAAUAUCAAUUUAAAACCAGUAGCCUAGCAUAUAUAAAAAACCUGAAAAAUCAGAAGAAAUUUCAGUACAUGUGUAUAUUUAGGCAAACCACUUGGUGGAUAACCAUACGCUAGAAGAAGAUCACAUACGAUCUAACUACAAAGAAAAAAUAUUCUCCAGAGAAAAUUCAGUGAACACCAGAACAUAAGCGGGCAAGACAGAUGAAAAUUAAAUAUAAAUCAAGAAUUAAUCGUAUACCGGUUUCGUCUGUUACCGAAUAAAUUACUUACUGAAUAAAUUACUUGUGUUCUCUAAUUGGCAACAUUAACUGCAGUAAAUUAUCUGCUGCAGAACUGUUUCCGGAAUUUAGCACUCCAGAACUUAGACAUUUGAAAAUAACCCCAAUAUAAUCGGUAGAACUAAGCACAUGUCUAGUUUUAUAUGGACAAAUAGUGUUUAGUUUUUCAAAUUAUAUUGAAAUUGGAACGAUCGUACUGACGAGUUCUGGGGACGAAGGAUUACGUAAGUAAUUUAUUCAGUAACACACGAAACUGAUAUACGAUUAAUUCUUGAUUUUUAUUUAAUUUUCAUCUGUCUUGCCCGCUUAUGUUCUGGUAUUUGCUGAAUUUUCUCUAGAGAACAUUUUUUCUUUGUAGUUAGAUCGUAUGUGAUCUUAUUCUAGAGUAUGGUUAUCCACCUAGUGGUUUGCCCAAACAUACAUACACACACACACACACACACACACACACACACACACACACACACACACACAUAUAUAUAUAUAUAUAUAUAUAUAUAUAUAUAUAUAUAUAUAUAUAUAGUAGCAGCAGAAAAGAGGGAUUUCGAUUAUCCCCACGUGGUGAUUUGUAAUGUAUAUAAGAAAUUAAAAAAGGAAAAUACGCACACUUACAUAGUUUUAAUAUAAUUUUUAAUAUAUCAACCGGUUUCGCUAUCACUAUUCAUAUUAUGUUUUACUUAUUUGAAUAUGCAUUUUUUCUUAAGAAGAAAUUUUGUCCAUGUUGUGUGUGAUGUGAUGAAAUUCACGAGUGAAUGACUUCACAAGUAGAUAAAAAAGGGAGGUAAUUGGUUAUCGUUAUUAUUGUUAUUGCUGUGAGUAAGGGAGAUAACUGUUCAACUUUCGGUAAUGGGAGGGGAAUAUAUAUGUACAAAGACAAGUUUCGAAAACCUUGUUUAGUGAUGAGAUUUAUGUACAGUGAUGUAAUCGUGAAUUGAAAUAUGUAAAAAACUAAAAGUUGGUUAUGCGUGCAUAUUAAGACGUGUUCUGUAUUUUUCAAUGAAAAAAGUUUCUUUAUUUAAACGUUCUAGUGGAGAGAUUACGUAUUUGCACUGGUAGAAGGGGAAGACUGUGAAAUUCGGUUUGAUGUUACCUGCUCAUUUUUCUGUAUGCUUACUGAGAGGAAUUUGUCUGUAUUGUGGGAAACGGAUUUGCUCUUUAUGUAGAGUGGUUCUCUUUCUCAAGGUCAUACUCGUUUGUCCAAUAUAGUGGUGUCUGCAACCUGAGCAGGUUAUUGCAUAACUUAGGUUUUCAGAGGCACAAGUGAAACUAAUUUUAAUUGUGAGCCUCUGUCAUUGUUUGAAAAGGAAAACUGAGUCUUCAAGCAGGUUGGGGCAGGUUCCACAGUUUGGGCGUCCAUAUUUUUCAACCAUUGGUUUCGUGGUUGUUUUGUGAAGCUUCGCAUUUGUAAGUAGUCUCUUUAGCGAUUUGUCUUGUUUUUUUGCAUUUGAUGAGUUUGUGUGUUUUCAGGAUGUCGUUCAUCUUUGGAUCUCUAGUUAGUAAAGGAAGAAGUUUGUACAAUAGUGUUGAAUGCCUCACUGUUUCUGGGAUUGUGUGUUGAUAUAAAUAGUAAUGUUUUGAGUUGAGGUUUGGUGUUAUGCUUUGUUGUUUUUAGUGUUUUUGUGUCUAAUUGUUUGGCACGUUUAAUUCCCUCGUCGAUAAGUGAGGAUGGAUAUUGUCUUUCAAUAGGUCCCGAGUAUAUACAUAUAUAUAUAUAUAUAUAUAUAUAUAUAUAUAUAUGUGUGUGUGUGUGUGUGUGUGUGUGUGUGUGUAUGUGUAUAUAUAUAUAUUUAUAUAUAUAAUAUAUAUAUAUGUAUAUGAGAGAUCCAAGGUGGCAGGUAACGCUAUGUAAGUGCUAUGGAAGGACUGUAGUUAAACUCUGGGUUUCAUAAUUAUAUGAGUGAGGAGUCUAAUGUGGGUCUGGUAUGAACAUGUAUCUGUUAAAUAAAAUGAGACAAGAAAGCCAAGGCUGUGUGGAAUUUUCAGGACAUUUAUGAAGAAAGAUGAUGCCACAUUUAUCCUUUCUUAGUCAGCACCAUGCAUUCUUUACUCUUUCUUUCUCUACUGACAGACAACCUUUUUCAACACUAUCAACUAUUAACCAGUGAGCCAUCACUAUCAUGAGAAUUGUUGGGCAAACAAAUAAAUAUAUGUAAAUAAUAUUUCUUCCUUCUUGGUGUUAAUUCUUUGAUGUUCACUGGUUACUCCAAUACAAGAACCUUUAAGUGUUACAUCAACACACUAUAUUUGGUAGUGGGCUGUAGCUACCAUAUCAACGUGAUAUGGCAUGUCACAUUCAGCCUGCUACAUAUACGUACUUUGGAAUCUUCCAUGGAGACUGUACACUGAUAUACUAUAUUUUUCAUGAGGCAUUAUUUUCCAAGGGACAGGUGGGGCAGCUACAGCUGCAUAGACUUCAAUAGGGUGCUAAAGUAGAGUUUGUGGGCCUAUGAUUACCUGUGGUUAAUUGGCUCUUAUAUUUAGUAUUAGCUUCAGCAUUAGGAUUGGUAUUGGUUGUGGUUGUGAGAGAGCUAUCCCAGGAGUGUAGCUUAUAGUACCUAUAAUAUUAUUCCUAUUAUUCUCUCCUUCAGUAACUGGUAUAACUGGAUCAUUAGGAUGGUUAAGAGGAUUGGGUGGAGUAUUAGGAUUGGUGCUAGUGAGGUGAGGGUCAACGUUGUUAAGGAGUUUAAUGAUGUCUUAUGGCUAUAGUUGGGGGGCUGGGGGUUAUAGUGUGCUGUAUUUGUGUUAUGUCCCACAUUAUUAUGAAAUAUUUCAUCAUCUCUGUGGGACUGGCCCAAAAAGUGUGCCUUGCUGACUAACAUUACUGAUUGUGUCAGUCCACUAUUUAUUAGUAGUGGACCAGCCCACUUCUCACCUGGGGGCAUCUGCCACAACACCUUCCCUCUUUGAGAUUUUUUUCGACACCUUUUUUUAAACUUUUUUUUCUAACCAAAAUUAUUUUUCUUAUUUAGAUUUUUUUCUUGUUCCACACAGAAUUAUAUAUAUAUUUUUGUUUCUUCAAAGAUUACACAGCAUUAUUAUAUAUAUAUUUUUCAUUUUUAUGACUUUUCCUUUUGUUACAGAAACUGGACCGGUUACCUGCAAACUUUCAUUAUCUUUUAAAGUGUUUGCAUUAAAACGAUUCCUCAAUGAAGCAUUUUCAGUAGAAGGACCUUUUCCUGUAACAGAUGGCUCAGAUUCUCUAAUUUCAGAAUUUUCUACGUGUUCUUCACUAGUCACGUCAAUUGACAUUUCAUCUGGAGUCUUUUCAAGGAGGACUUGUUUAGUAUCCUCAAUCACAAAAUGGCUUGCAUUUGCUUUGUCCAUUUUAACGUUCUUAGCAACUGGUUCAUUUUCCAUUUUUAAAUCUUCUGACAUGACUCAAUUUAAUGUAUUGUUAAUUCUUUUUCAUUUUUUUUUCUUCUAACCAGAAUUAUUUUUUGUUCCACACAGAACCAUUAUUUUUCAAAAUUACUUAUAAAUCCUUUGAAUGGACUUAUUAUUAUUAUCAUCAUUUUUUGUUCCAUACUGAGCCAUAGUUUUUUUUUCAAAAUGCUGCAGGUAGUACCAAGUCUACAUUAUUACUGGUAGCGCUACUGCAUAUAGCAACCUGACUUAUAAAUCCUUCAAACGGACUUAUUAUUUUUAUCCCCCACACAGAACCAUAGAUUUUUUGGUUCUCAAAAUGCUGCAGGUAGUAACCAAGUCAACAUUAUUAUUGGUAGUGCUACUAUAUAUAGCAACCUGACUAAUAAAUACUUUGAAUGGACUUUUUUUUCUCAAAAUGAAUUAUUUUUCACCAUGUGUCGUUUCAGUUCUGUGUAGAGUUCCAGUUUUAUCAGACAGUGUUUUCUUCAGG
rnacentral:lncRNA from 1 species